ACUAUUACUCGCAUAUGGUCACAACUUAAUUGCUUCAUGUGAGUGAUGUGACCAUCCACCCUCCACCUCCGUAUUGGAACCCUAAUCCAUAUCUGCUGCCAUAUGUUCCACAUAUCCAACUUUGAGGAUUUUGAUAAUAUCCGAUUUCCACAGUUCAUCAACAUCCAUUGAAGGUCGUCUUGGUCUGGUAGGUGAUUCACACCAAAAUUUUGAGAAAAUUAGGUUAUAGAAAUCUUAUAACCGAAAUUCCUGGUUAUGUAUUUAUUCUGUUCGUAUGUUGGUUUUUCUGAAUUUAGUUUGGCCUGGUCGAAUUACUUUGAGGUUUGAAAAUUAGGGCUUGAUUUGGCUCACUGUUGAUAUGAUGUUAUUUGUUUAAGUCUGCUGAAAGUUUUUUAUUCUAUAUAUACCAUGUUGUUUAUUAAUACUGCCCCUUAAGCCGUUUAUGCCAUCAUUCUCCAUUGAGGUGCUCAAGCAGCUUUCCUUUCCCCUUCAACUUUUUCUCUCUGAUGAAAAUUGAGAUAUAAAGAAGGCUAAAAGACCAUGGGAUCGAGAUGGUACCUGCUACGUAAUUGGGACCCCCUAUGCCUUUAUUUAAAGAACCGGUAUGUAAAACAAAUGCCUAUUUUGAUAAUUACAUGUGCCAUAGUGAGAAUUAUGCACCUCGGUUACUGUUCUUGUGUGCGUGUGCUAUCUUUGUGAUGUGCAGAAAGAUGAAGAGGUGGAAUUCUUUAGGGCAAAGUUUGCUGGCAGUCAAGCUGACCGAGCUAUCAAGGCAGAAGCCGAAGCAAAUAAAAUUGCUGAACAAAUGAAGAACUCAAAAGGUGCAAGUUGAUGUUUUUCUCUUUGGCAAUUUGGCUCCUUUUCAUUUGUGUGUGUGUUUGUUGUUUUUACUGGUUCCACUCAGGUUUCGUUUCCUUCAUGUGCCCUUCUUCUUGUGCACACUCACUUCAGAAAACAAGCCAAUUAUUACUGUGUAUUCAAUAUGGGUUCUAUGCUUUUAUAUAAAAUCUGAAGCAACUCAUAUCAGCUAAAUUAAACCCUAGUUUAUUAAAUUUUCAAUUUCGUUGUUACCUAUGCUAUAUAAAAUCUGAAUACUAUUAUUGUGUUGUGUUUUAUUUUCAUGCAAUCUGAGGAUCUUGUUAGACCGACGUCUAUGCUUUUGGAGGGAUUUGAUGGUAAACAACUUACUUUGUAGAUAGAGGGAUUUUCGGGUGGUUGGUGGCGUGUUGGGUAACAAAUCUAAACGGGUCCAGUAUAGUAUUAUACGAGCAAUUAUUUGAUUCAGGACAAUCGGUUAGGGCGAGUUGAUCCAAAACACUUCUUUUAGGAUACUGUAUAUAUAGGUCACUUAAGUAUAAGUUUUUUUUUUUUCAUCAAGGUCACCAAACUAUUAUGAUUUUUUAGAGGCCAUCCAAGUAUCAAUUUGUUUUCGUUUAUUUUACUUUCUAUUGCCAAGAAAUUAUAAUUAGACAAAAUGUUGUUAGUUAAAGCUUUUGACACAUGUAGAGUUCUAUAACUGACAAAAAUGCUCAUGAUUGUACUUAAAAGGGUCAAGUUUACAUGAAUUGACAACGUAUAUUUCAAUAGAUUUAGGGACACAACAUGUAAGAGAUCACCAAGAAAAUGAAAAAAAAUGCUCAUACCGUUACACCUUGUUGGCAUGUAUAUAUUUGUCUGGUCUGUAUCAUAAAUAUCAUUGCUAUAAAAUAUUUUUUUUACUACAAAGGGAAGGAUCUGCUUUAGAUGUUCACAUAACUUAUUAUAUUGCUGAAAACUCGUAUGUUUUAUAUGGUUUUGCAGCUCUUCUCAGAUACUGUUCCCAAGACCGUAGUACGGGUAAGAUCAGGCCUAGUACGGGUAAGAUCAGGCCUGGCCCAAGGGAAGGGCGAGGUGGGCGAUCGCUGAAGGCCCACUCUUCCGAGGGGCCGAGAUGUUGUAAACAAUUUAUAUAUUUUUAUAUAGUUUAUUUAAUUCAUACAUCCGCAUACCAUACAAUAAAAUGUUUGUAGUCUAGUUGGAAAUACCAUCUCGAAACACUGCAUAGGUCUUUGCUUCGAGACCCAGCAGUUGCAUUUUUAAUAUUUUAUGCAUGGUAGAUUCCUUAUUAAGUGAGGAUAGAUUCACUAAGAUUUGGCCCAUAAGUGUAAACUGAAGCAUAAAAAUAUAUACAUAUUCAUUAUUGGUAUGGCCUCUUUUUUUAACUUUAUUUAGCAUCAUGUGUAUAUAUAUAAUCAAUCGCUUUAUUUCCUAAAAUUUGUUUUUAAUGUCUUUCACACUCUAUAAAUAAUAGUUUCAUGUCUUAUUUCAAGUUCAAAUUUGUUGACGAGCCAUGCUCUAAUUGGCUCGGUUGUGAUUAGAGGCCCGUUUUUUUACUCGCCCUAGGCCCGAAAAAUUUAAAGAUUCUCAGGGACGGCCUUGGGAGAAAAAGGGAAUAGUCCAAAACUGGAAGACCACUACACUACAAGGGAUCUUUUUUCAAUCGCAUAAUCAAAGGAUCUUUGGCUCAGGUAUGUUUUUUCAAUUACUUCAAUAAAUUAUACAUACUUACUUUAUUUUCUACCUUGUUUCCAAUGGUUAGGUUCAGACACAAACCGUAAACACCCCUAGUGGGUAUAUGGUCAGUUGUAUUUUGUUGCAGGUUGAAUGUGCUAAUAGGUUGCUAAUUGGGGCUGCUAUGGGGAGAAUAGAGGUCAAGACUACUAGGAUGCUGAAGAGAAGAUUAAUGUCUUGUUUUUAUGAGUUCAGUUUAUUUUUUAUUAUUGUUUCUUUGUUUGGUUGCUUACUUGCUUUUAAGAGGUUAAUGGUUCAGUUCCACCCCUCUUGUAAGGUGGAAAGAAUGUAGCAAAUCGACCAAUUUUUUAUGAAUGGGUCGGUUUGGGUUGUUUUUUCCCUAACGGGUCAAAUGUAUUCUUUGUGUAGCGUGUAUUAUUUUAAGAUCUUAAUCAAUUCAAAAGGUGUACAACAGUCCA